rnacentral:rRNA from 1 species
GACGUAGGAGGCGAGCGUUAUCCGGAUUCAUUGGGCGUAAAGGGCGCGUAGGCGGACUAUCAAGUCUGGGGUGAAAUCCCGCGGCUCAACCGUGGAACUGCCUCAGAUACUGACGGUCUCGAGGGAGGUAGGGGCAUGCGGAACUGUAGGUGGAGCGGUGAAAUGCGUUGAUAUCUACAGGAACUCCGGUGGCGAAAGCGGCGUGCUGGACCUCUUCUGACGCUGGAGGCGCGAAAGCUAGGGGAGCAAACGGG